rnacentral:rRNA from 1 species
UACGGAGGCGGCAAACGUUGCUCGGAAUCAUUGGGCGUAAAGCGCACGUAGGCGGCCCGGUAAGCCGGAUGUGAAAGCCCUCGGCUCAACUGAGGAAGUGCAUUAGAAACUGCUGGACUUGAGUACGGGAGAGGGAUGCGGAAUUCCCGGUGUAGAAGUGAAAUUCGUAGAUAUCGGGAGGAACCCAAGUGGCGAAGGCGGCAUCCUGGACCGAUACUGACGCUGAGGUGCGAAAGCGUGGGGAGCAAACAGG